GGACAGAAGUGGAGGACGUGGCUCGAACGUUCCGGCGGCCGCAGGAGCAGACGGAUGCGAACAGGUGUGAGCGCAGACUGCAGGCGAGCCCGCGGAGCAGUAACACUGUAAUGGAAUCUUGAGAAGUUUUUUUGGAGAGCUGAAACUCGAGAUCUUUAAUUCUGAGUUCCAUUUGCAUUCUAAAUGAAGAAUUAUCCUUCUCUCUCCACUGCUGUAAUCUCUUUUGUGCUUCAUCCUUUAAAACAAAUUAAAAGAAUGCGUUUUUUAAUGUCCCGUCUGUACUGUUCCAACUUAUUGUGUUCCAGUGAAAUCCUUGCCAGGGAGGCUCACCCUAGGAGCCCAGCCACCUUGCUGUGAAGCACCCCAGGGCACCAAGUGAAUCCUCACAGAGAUGUGCCAACUGAGACUGAUGUAGCUUCUGUGCCAGCCAGAAGCUGACUUCAACUGCCAAACAAGUGCAUGUGGCACCUUUAGGUGAUUCUAGUCCCCAGUGGUGUAUCAUCCCAGCUGAUGCCAAGUGGAGAAGAAAGAAGCUCGCCUCACUGAGCCUUGCCUAAACUGUAGAUUUGUGAACAAAGAAUUGUACUCCAAGGGCUAAACUGUAGAAACCACAGCCCAGGCUCCUGUCCCAUCUGCACCUGAUGAAGAUGUAAGAUCUCAGACUCCAGCCUGAACUGGAUGCCAUCAUCACUGAGGCUUGGCACACAGAUACAGGGUAGGGAAAGGAAGGUUAUGGACCAACCUUACUGACUUGCUCCCAGUGAACAGAAUAUGGGAAGGUGAUGCUGUAUGAAUUCCAAGGCUGGUUGGCCGGGAUAGGCCAGGUGUUCCAGCUGCCCCGCCCAACUAAAGUCCCAGCCAGGGCCUGGCGCCAACAAUCGGACAUGUGAGUGAACUAGCCUCCAAAUGACUCCAGCCUCAGCCUCCAAGCUGUCCCAGCUAAAGCUGAAGGAAGCAGAGACAAGCUGUCCUGGCCACACUUUCCUGACGGAGGAAGAAAUAGGAUUCUGUCAAUUAUGCAUUGAGCUAUGAAGUACAGCUAUCCAUCUCUUUCGAUUUAAGUAAAAGGAGGUGGAUACAGAGAACUGAGGUUUCUGAGAAUAUAGGAUCAGCACCAAGAACAAGGUUGGCUUCAGGAUUACACACAAGAACCAGGUCAAAAGAAGAUUUAAUUGUGAAUAGAAAGAUGACAGAUUAGCCAGACUUCCAAAGAGAAAGCCAAAAGCCCAGACUUCAUCUCUUCCUUCCUAGAUGGUGAAAUCUAUGGAUCAGUCUAUGCCCUAUAGUGAGUCACUGAAACAUAAUGAACUACACAGACUGAGUCAGCAGAUCCUGUGAGCCAGACAUGCAAAUGGGAGUGAGGUGGAGGAACACUGGUGAGAGACUAAAGGUGUGGAUGGAGAAAAGAAAGGGAAUGGGCUCUACCUUUGUUGUUAGCCUGACUUCCCAUCAUGGCACGGUCAGCAGGGCACAAGCUGGACAAAGGCUCUGAAGCUAAAAGUGUCUGCAUGAGCUGAGAGAAGCAAGUGGUACUAUUAAAGAUGACCGUGAAAGAGUCCUCACAAUAUUUGAUUUGGUAUUGGCAUAAGGGUAGACAUGCAGCAACCGUAUUAGAAUUGGGGAUACAAAAUAAACUCUGGUGAACUGAUUUUCAACAAGGGUGCCAAAAGGUUAAAUGGGUCAAAAAUAAUCUUUUUAACCCAUGGUACUGGGGCCACUGAAUAUCCACAUACAGAAGAAUAAAAUCAGACCUCUACUUCAUAGCAUAUAUACAAAGUUAACUCAACAUGUAAGUGCAAAAAUUAUAAAACUCAUAGGAAAAAACAAAGAUGUGUAUCUUUGUGACUGGAUUUGGCAAUGGUUUCUUAGAUGACACCAAAGGAGAAAAGCAGAUUAACUGGAUUCAUCAGGACAGUGAAAAGGCAAGCUAUAGAAUAGGAGAAAAUACUUGAAAAACCUUUAUCUGGUAAUGGAUCUGUAUCUAUAAUAUAGAAAUAACUCUUGUAAUUCACUUAGAAAAGACAGUCCAAUAUUAAAAUAGGCAAAGGAAUCAAACAGCCAGUUCUUCAAAGAAGAUACCUGAAUGGUUAAUAAGCAUAGGAAAAGAUGCUCAAAAACAUUAUUCAUCAGAAAAAUGCAAAUCAAAACCACAGUGAGAUGCCAUUUCACACCCACUAUAGGAUGGCUACAAUAAAAAAGACAGAUGAUGACAGAUGUUGUUAAGAAUGUAGAAAAGCAUCAGAACCCUCAAGCACCACUUGGGAAAGAGUAAAUUAAGAAUCUUACUUAACUUCCUGCCUUUUACUAUGCUGUUUACAGCUGGGCCUGCAUGCUAAAUUAGUUGCCUGGGUUGCAAAUUAUUUGAUUAGUGCUGAAGGAGAAAAAGACCAGCAGAUAGGUAAAGUCAAAAAAUAAAUUGGGCCUGCAUAAUUAACACAAUAAAGACAUGGGCUAUGCUGAGGUACCCUCCUUUACCUGGGGAAUAUUCAAACAUUCCAGGCCAAGUUGUUCCUGGCUUUUUGAGUGUUAACUGAUUAACUCUGGGUCUUUUUCAGUGGGCUUUUUCCUGGCCUUACUCUUUUUCCACCUCACUCAUAUCUAUUUUUCUGACUAACAGCUGGAUAUAGAUAAUUUUCUUAAUUCUCUCUGUUUGGAUACAUACUAUACAUAAUCUGAAUCUUUCCACAUUUUUACAGAAUAUCUAAAGGGGAAAGGAAAUGAGGGAAGUAUCUCAUUUCAACUGGUUUAUAUAAUGACCUUUUGUACAAUUAACCUGAAAUCCACAAAAUAAAUGUAUUCUACAUCUGCAACAGUGAAGGUAACAAAAAUUACAAUUUUCUGAAACAUUCCAUUAAACAUUAUGAUGUGAUUUUAUUUGGCUUGCCUCAUCAUGGCAAAAGAGAGAUCUGUAAAAAAAACAAUGGUUGGUACUAAAAAACAAAGUCUCAGCUGAUGUGAAGAGUGAUGCUUAAUUUUGUUUUCCUAAGGAUAAAUAUUGUAAGAAAAAAUGGAUAAUAUAAAUGGCAGAACUAAAGUCAGAGUUUAAGAAAUAAGUGCAUUGUAAAGACAGAAUUGUAAUAAAUUUGUUGUAAUGAAAAUAUAAAAGCUGUCCACAGAAAUUAAUAUUCUAAAACACUGUGUAUUAUUUCAUUAGCUAUAGAUUAACUGUUGGUAUGUUAAAUUUCAC